CCCAUCCAGUCAUCUAUCCAUCCAUCCAUCCAUCCAUCCCUUCUAUAUGAAGAGCAAUUAUCUAUCUUUUGCCAGGGAUUCAUAUUUUAGUCCAGGGGUCAGCAAACUUUUCUGUUAGUAAAUAUUUUAAGCUUUGCAGGCUGUACAGUCCCUGUUGCAACUAGUCAGCUCUACCAUUAUAUUGUGAAAGCAGUUACAGACAAUAUAUAAACAAAUGGGGGUGAUUGUGUGCCAAUAGAACUUGAUUGACAAAAACAAGAGGCAGCCCGAUUGGGUCAUAGGCUGUAGUUUUUGGACCCAUCAUUUAGUCCCUGUACAUCAUGUGUGGAAGUUUAUAAGCUCCAUUCUACAGGUAGGGAGAUUUACCCUUGGAUGUGUUCAUAAACUUGUCCAGCUUCGGUGACAGGUAGGACUUAGGCAGGAACCAAGCUCUGUCACAUUCCAGCUCUCUUGCGUUUACCAACAAACAGGAAUUCUGUGCCAUGGAAUCUCUACAUGAACCAUGUUCAGAUAGCUUGUCGCAGGUGAGCCGUGGGAGCUAGAUGCCCCAAGAAACAUCCUCCCUGUUUCUGGAGACCUGGAGAGCCAAAGAAGUCAUGUAUCUCAUCACACAUGCCCAGGGCCCCACAGUCAGGAGGGCCCCAUGCUUAAUUCAUGUGCUGUGGGCGCCAUCUUGAAUUUCGUAUUUUCAUUUUGCACUUGGUCCACAAAUUGGGUAGCUUGCCCUGCUCACAUGCCCACCCUCCUAAAGGAAGGGGAGCAGGUCUUCCAAGGAUGAUGUCCCCACUCUCCUGAGCACCUCUUGACAAACCAUCAGCUUGUCAGGUCUGUCAUUGGCUAUAAAGAUUCCCUUGGAGUUUCAGCAAGGCUGGUGGUUCUUGGCUGUUCACUGGGGACCCUUCUGAGAAUGAGUGAUGCCCAGUUACCCCUCUCCCAGACUUCCCACGUUGAUUCCUUGUGUUUCAGCAUUUAUUUAAAAUGCCUCACACCAUCCAUUUGUUCAACCAAGGUUGAGAUUCAGCAAACAGCGAUUACAGCUUCCAGCUCUGCACCCCAGGGCUUCUGGCAGCUCCAUCCAGAAUCAUUUCAACCACCAGGAACUGCUCAGACCCAGAGUUUUAACACGUGUAGAUCUGUGCAACCGCCGCCACUGUCUUAGCUUGCCAGGGCUGCUGGAACAGAUUCCACAGACCAGUUGGCGUAAACAACAGGAAAUUGUGGUCUCAGAGUUUCGGGGGCUGGAAGUCCAAGACCAUGGCUCCUCUGAGGUCUGUAGCUUUGUGGCAGUGGCUUGCUGGCGGCCAUACCUUCAUCUCUGCCUCCGUCAUGUGGCUGUUGGUCUCCUCACUCCUACUCCACGUCCACAUUUCCUCUGCUUCUGAGGACCCCCAGCAUGUGGGAGCAAAUCCCACCCUGAUUCAGUUUGGCCUCCCCUUAGCUAAUAACAUCUGCAAGGGACCCAUUUACAAAUGGGUUCCCACCCAAAGGUUGGGGAUCAGGAUUGGAACAUGUCUUUGAGGAGGAUCUGAGUCAAUAACCACUAACAGGACUCAGCCUGGAACUGGAGUCUUGACUCUAACCUGGAGACCAGGAGCAGGAUUAGGACUCAGGCUCUGUCAACAACAGGUGCCUGCCUGGAAGGGGAACUUGGCUUCUACCUGGGAUCAGAGGCAGGGCUGGGACUCAGGCUCUGUCAACAAUAGGUGCCUGCCUGGAAGGGGGACUUGACUCCUACCUGGGAUCAGGGGUCGGCCUGGGACUCAGGCUCUGUCAACAAGAGGUACCUAUUCCUAGAAUGGGGGACUUGACUCCUACCUGGGACCAGAGGCAGGGCUGGGACUCAGGCUCUGUCAACAAGAGGUGCCUGCCUGGAAGGGGGACUUGACUCCUACCUGGGACCAGAGGCAGAGCUGGGACUCAGGCUCUGUCAACAAGAGGUACCUAUUCCUAGAAUGGGGGACUUGAUGCCUCCCUGGGACCAGAGGCAGGGCUGGGACUCAGGCUCUGUCAACAAUAGGUGCCUGCCUGGAAGGGGAACUUGACUCCUAACUAGGACCAGGGGCGGGCCUAGGACUCAGGCUCUUGUCAACAAGAGGUACCUAUUCCUAGAAUGGGGGACUUGACUCCUACCUGGGGACCUGGGUCUGGACUGGGACUCAGGCUCUGUCAAGAGGUGCCUGCCUGGAAGGGGGGUUUGACAUUAACCUGGGGACCAAGAGCAGGACUAGGACUCAGGCUCUGUCAACAAGAAGUUCCUGCCUGGAAGGGAGACUUGAGUCUAACCUAGGGAUCAAGGGUGGAAUUGGACUCAGGCUCUGUCAACAAGAGGUUCCUGCCAGGAAAGAGGACCUUGACUCUAACCUGGGGAUCAGGGGCAGGGUUGGGGAUCAGGCUUUGUCAACAACCUGUGCCUGCCCAGAAGGGGGACUUGACUCCUACCCAGAACCAGGGGCAGGACUGGGACUCAGUCUCUGUCAACAAGAGGUGCCUUCCUAGAAGGGUGGACUUGACUCUAACCUGGGGACCUGGGGUGGGACUGGAACUCAGGCUGUGUCAACAAGAGGUGUCUUCCUAGAACAGGGUCCUGAAUCUAACCUGGGGACAAGGGGCAGGACUGGGACUCAGGCUCUGUCAACAAGAGGUGCCUGCCUGGAAAGAGGACUUAACUCUAGCUUGGGGACCGGGAGCAGGGCUGGGACUCAGGCUCAGUCAACAACAGGUGCCUGCUUAGAAAGGCAGACUUGACGUCACAGCUCCCAUCCUGUGCCUUGACUUUGCCUUGGUCCUUGCUCUUUGUUCCAGGUUUGGACUUCCAGCUUCCUGGACCUUCUCUGAGCAUCUGGUGUUCUUAUCAUGAAUUCCCCGUCUGCUUAGAUCGGUGAGUUGGAUCCUGGUUGGAACUGAGAGUCCUGACAGAUUCUGUGAGCUGACUUUGCCAUCCCAGGGACAAAGUUCAGGACUCGGAGCCUCCAUUGAACGUCCCGCAGGCCGGGACAAACUGGCGCCCAACGUGGGACCCUGAAUUCUGUGAGAGACGGAACGCCGCACUCAGGGAGAGAGGUACCUCACACUCACCGCACCCGGGAUCACUGCGAGGAAGCACACUCAUGAGACAGAUCUGUUCAGCAGUCCAUCAGUGCCAGCGAAAGGAAGAAACGGGAAGAAGAAAAGAAAGCAACAAAAGCACGUCGCCAACCUUGCUGUAGCCUGCCCAGAACACGCCCAACCUACGUGCAGCCGGCAACCAAAAAAGGCCCAACUUACAGGUGUUGCUGGCCUAAGCACCGGAGCCGCCUCUAUUAUCCUCCACAACCAAGGCUUCUCCAGCCUGAGAGCUGCUAUAGAUGAAGAUUUAGCCCGCAUUGAAACCUCCAUCACCCAUCUUGAAAAAUCCCUUACAUCUCUAUCAGCAGUUGUUCUCCAAAACAGGAGAGGCUUAGAUCUACUUUUCCUUAAGCA